rnacentral:rRNA from 1 species
GAUGAACGCUGGCGGCGUGCCUAAUACAUGCAAGUCGAGCGAACAGAUGAGGAGCUUGCUCCUCUGACGUUAGCGGCGGACGGGUGAGUAACACGUGGAUAACCUACCUAUAAGACUGGGAUAACUUCGGGAAACCGGAGCUAAUACCGGAUAAUAUAUUGAACCGCAUGGUUCAAUAGUGAAAGACGGUUUUGCUGUCACUUAUAGAUGGAUCCGCGCCGCAUUAGCUAGUUGGUAAGGUAACGGCUUACCAAGGCAACGAUGCGUAGCCGACCUGAGAGGGUGAUCGGCCACACUGGAACUGAGACACGGUCCAGACUCCUACGGGAGGCAGCAGUAGGGAAUCUUCCGCAAUGGGCGAAAGCCUGACGGAGCAACGCCGCGUGAGUGAUGAAGGUCUUCGGAUCGUAAAACUCUGUUAUUAGGGAAGAACAAUGUGUAAGUAACUAUGCACGUCUUGACGGUACCUAAUCAGAAAGCCACGGCUAACUACGU